UACGGAGGGUGCAAGCGUUAAUCGGAAUUACUGGGCGUAAAGCGUGCGUAGGCGGUUUGUUAAGUCAGAUGUGAAAGCCCUGGGCUCAACCUGGGAACUGCAUUUGAUACUGGCAGGCUAGAGUAUGGUAGAGGGAAGUGGAAUUCCGGGUGUAGCGGUGAAAUGCGUAGAUAUCCGGAGGAACACCAGUGGCGAAGGCGACUUCCUGGACCAAUACUGACGCUGAGGUACGAAAGCGCGGGUAGCAAACAGG
rnacentral:rRNA from 1 species